AUGGCACCUAAUGUAGAACCUCGUCCCUCCAGCCGUCCCCAGAAGCUACAGCAGCCCUCCCCAUGGAGGCGGGAGCGCACAGGUGACGGAUUUGAGGUGCUACACCGCCACCUGGUGUCCCGCGCAGGCGCUGCAGUCCCCCUGCUGAGCGCCACACGGGCGCGUCUGCGGGCUGCCGCCGCCGCUUUCCCUCAACCCGAAGCAGAGCUGUUUUUCUCUCUCCUCUCGGAUGACAGCCGUCCUCUGCGCGCUUCAGCAGCACAUUUAAGGAGGGAUCAGAACUGCUUUUUUCCCGUUGCUGUGUUUCGCCUUGGUCGGCAUGAGUGGGGAAGAAGAGCUGCGGUGAAAGGAGAGAGACAGAGAGAGACUCCUGUCUCCAGCUGCUGGAUACCAGGAUCCUUUUAACACUGUCGUGAUGGAGGCUGAUAUGUGGACAGUGGAGUAAAGGAGCCAGACGAGUCCUGGUUUGAUGUGAGUUCUACCCUCUUCCCCCUUUUAUUCUACCUCUUCCUGGCACAUUUCAGUUUCAGAUUGGUUUUAAAUUGAUACAAUCUUCAAAUAAAUCCGGCUCUGGAUUGGGGCCGUGUCUGGGCUACAAUUUAGUAGUCCGGCAAAUAGUCCGGCCGACCGGUGCUGCGAGCGCCACACCGACGUAUUCAACAUAUUCAUGUCAGUGUGGAGAAAUAACAAAAUUUUGCCCCCCCCCUGUUGUAAUGGUAGGGGAAACACUGGCAUGGAAUCAGUGUAGAGGGUUAAAGUAAAGAUAGAUUUGUGCAAAGAUGUGUAGCAUCUAGAUGAUUAUUUCAAUCAGCCUCUGUAACUCUAAAAUGGCUGAUUGACAAACUGUUGCCUUAAUUAUGAUCCAUUGAAUAGGGCUUGAAUGGGUUUUUAACAGGCCGACCUUCAAAACAUUAUUUCACUUUCCAAUAUUUGAAAUAAUUGGAACACACAAGUUUAAUGUGAACGUUGCAUGAAUUCAAAUUUUACAUUUUUUUGUCUAUUUACAAAACACUACCUGAACACCCACCAUUUGGAUCACAUUAGGGAAGUCCAGCUAUAGUUAUUAUAUUGCAUUCAAGAUACAAUUCAGAAGAUACAAACGCACAAUAAGGUAACGGAGAAGAAGCUCCCACAGUGAUUAUUUUUACCCCCUCCACACACAGACGCGGCUUACCUCCUAUUUGUUGAUAUAAGACUUUGUUCCCUAUUUAGUUAUACGUAUGUAAUGUUUCUGAUGGUAUGGAGGCAUGGGUUAAGAGCAACACACAGACGCAUCAAACAAGAAACAGUGUAUGCCAGCACUAAUAGGUCAAUAACAAAUGUGAAGCUUUGCAAAUCCAUCAGAUGCUACUGUCUUAGGAGGAUGUGCAGCUGUCAUGGACACUGUAUUUAUUACAUAUUCCUAUUUACGCUUUGUUAGAGCAGGCUUAGACUUUCUAUUUGAAUCUCCAUUUUUUAGAUGCAUAAAGCUCAGUUUAAGGGUGUUUGUGUUCAAUUAUAUCAAUAAACACUCGCGUUUAGAAAGAAGUUGGCAGCUAGAAUUUGGCAUUCCCUUAAUUUUGACUUAAUUUUAUUUUGCUGCUUUAAUUCCCACUUAAAAGGCUUUGUACUUAAUUAUCCGAUUCAUGUAGAUAUGUGAACAUUUUUAAUUGAUGAUGCGUACAUUAAGUUAUAAUGGACAAUAGUUUUUGCUUUCUUUUGCCUCUGAUUGGUUUUAUUAUUUAACUUAUUUUACCCUAAUCUGCUACACUUUACUGAACUGUCCUUUGCUAUAAUACAUUCUAACAUACUCUAUACUGAACUCUAUUCUCUGCUACACACUAUUAUAGUGUGCUCCACUUUACUAUACUGACCACACUAAAAAUACUACAAUACUCAAUUUUCAACUACACUCUAGAAGUACUAUAUUAUACUACACAAAACUAUACUGUACAAGCAAUAUACUACGGUAUACUAAACUAUGCUAUACCAUACUUUACUAUUCACACUAUUUGAAUCAUUUAUGUUAUAGGAAUUGAAUGUAUUGAUCUUUUACAUUGUUCAUUCUGUACACAUGACAUCCAUUGUAGUCGGUCCAUCCCGGAGAGGGAUUCUCCUCUGACGUUCUCCCUUAGGUUUCUUCCCUCUUUUCCCCAUAGAAGGGUUUUUCAUUUUCUAUGUGCCGAUGUGAGGGUUUUCGUACCGAAGAUGUCGCGUGUGUACAGACUGUAAAGCCCAAAAUCGCAAAUUAGUAAUUUGCGAUUUUGGGCUAUACAAAAUAAAAUGAAUUUAAUAAUACUAAACUGCAUUUUACACUGCAGCACACUAGAACAUACUAUAUAUAUAUAUAUAUAUAUAUAUAUACUAUAAUACAUGGUACUGUAUUAUAGUAGACUGUAGUAGACUGAAGGUACUGUGCUUCCUAGAUUCCCUCCUCUCCUCCCAUGCUUCCUCCUGGUGCCUCCACAUGCUGCCUCUGCUCUCUUUGUUCCACCUUAUUUGGGUGUGUGCUCAUGUGUGGAUGCGGGUGUGCACCACGAGAGCGUUUUGAGGAUGGGUCGGAUCUCUCGGUUUACUCCCCCACACCGCCUUCCCUCUGCGACAGUAGCGCGUGCGUGUCUGUCAGUCAGCAGCAGUGUUUGACGCUGUUGAGUGUGAGCCCGUAUUUGUGUGCGUGCCUUUAAACGCGGCGUGCAAAUGAAGAAAGGGGGGGUGCGUAAGUGAAUCUGUGAGUGGGAGUAUGCUCUGGUGGGGAAAAAGGGGGAACAAGACAGAGAGAAAAGCACACUUGUAUGCUGCUUAUGCAUAUAGACAUGUUUGUUGCAUUCCUCUGUGUGUGUGUGUGUAGACAUAUACACACACACACACAUACACACACAUGUACACGGAACUCCAGGGACCAGCAUGUUCAUUAUUCUUCCUAAAAGAACCAUUAAAAUUUCAUCAGUGCAUUGCAAUCUGUAGCAGGGCGGGGGGUAGGAUUGUGUGUGUGUGUGUGUGUGUGUAGGAAGGGGAGAGAGAGACUGGGUAGUGUGAGGGGAGGGAGCUCGUAUCCGCUGCUCAUUCACCACUGCCUGCCUGCCUCUCUCUCCUCCUCUUCUUCUUUUUCAUCAUCUUCUUCUCUGGUGGCUCCACUCCUCUGCCGUGUGCACGCCCGAUGCGCAGAUUACGACUUCUCUCAUGAUGUGAGCCGCCAGCAUCCCUCCCCUCCCACUCCCUCCCUCCCUCCAUCCAUCCCACCUCAUUCUACUACUGCUACUACAGCCACUGCUGCACCUCCUCUCUCUCACACACACACACUGGCACCGGAGGAGGCUGUCCCUGAGCUACGGGAGGAGAGGGC
ensembl:lncRNA